ensembl:lncRNA
CUCAGUAUGACCACAUCCUUCAUUAGUAUGCAAGCUGGGCCAACAUCAUCUUCCGUCUCUUCCUGUUAUUCUCCAGCCUGUCGGUCUCUCUCUCUCUCUCUCUCUCUCUCUCUCUUUCUCCUUAGCAACAGACAAUGGACUGAUGCACUGAAACGUUACAUGUUUGGACUUGUCUCAUACAGACCUGUCUACUUCAGGACAGUAUCUGACACAUACUGUAAUGCUCUCCGUCUCCUGCAUUGACUUCCCCUGACUUCCUCCUUUUUCUCUAUUGCCUCAUUUCCCUAUAUUGGUACUUACCUCCAUUUGCCUUUUACCAUAUCUUUCAUUUAUAACCCCAUCCCCUCUCUCUCCCAGGUGAGUAUCAGAAGUCAUGUUAUGAGUGCUCCCCCUGUGAAGAGGGUUUCUACACAGCAGAAAUGAACGAAGAGCCGAGCUGCCGUCCCUGCUUCAGAGACUGCAGACCUGGUACAUAAUACACUGAUUGUUUGUGAUUAAUUCUAUGUUGUUCCUACAUUGACGAGUUUCAUUGUCCUCUCAGUGGCCAGCACAUCAGGUCCACCAGAACGUUUCCGGAGAUCGAUCUGUUCUACAGAGUCUCACAUGGUCAUGGCUUGCUAUAUAAAGCAGGCAUCAGGCAUUAAAGCGUUCAGUUGCUGUUUGAUUUAUGGUAACUAUGGGCAAAAGCAGGGGAUGAUCGUCGUGCCCAGGCACGAUUGUUCCAAAAUCUCAGAAACAAUCUCCUUCUAGGAAUUAUAUACAAGACAGUGACUUCAGAAGGCUGUUCUGAAGGCAAAGGAUCCCACCUGUUACUUGAUUUGCAUACCUUCUAAACUGGCCUCUGUGUGUGUUUAUACAGUAUGGGCUAUACAGUACUUAAUGUGUCUCAGUGGUUUAGUAGUAAUAAAACUAAACUUUGUGUAGGCUCCGUAUAGUCAACUACAAUCUAAAUGAUACAUUAUUUAGUGCUGUAAUCAAAUCACUCUUUUUGUAAAUCAGGAAAAUUUCAAUUCAUGGAAUUAUUUUUCCUUUUUUUGUCUCACUAUAAUAAUUAUGUGUGUGUGUGUGUGUGUGUUUCAAGAACUUCACCUGGUGGUGGUUGCGAACUGCACAAAAAAAUCAGACAUCACGUGUCUCUGUGAGGCUGGUUUCAGCUGCAGUGAAGAAAACUCCCUGACAGGAAACUGCGAAGACUGUAAGAAGAUUCCUCAGCAGACGACGCCACUGACGUCCAUUGCAGUGAGCGUCAGAAUAAAACAGCCCAUAACAUCCCCUGAAUUCCGCAGCACUUCCUUGACUGAACGCUGCCAACCACCCCACUGUGAUGCUUCAGCAGCCCCAGAUAGAGUCAACAACACUAACCACACCUCAGGAAAGGUACAGAUCAUUUUCUCCUCUCCACCGGCUGAGGGCAGUAGCUCCCUGGCAGGCAUUUUAUUUCCUCUGGUGGUCAUUGUCCUGGCCAUUAUCAUUCUGCUAUGUAUCCUUCGCCCUCGAGAUGAAGUGCGUUUCAAACAAGCUCUCAAAUUCUGUAACAAGGGAGUCAGAGAAGGGGUGCCUAACAUUGCCAAAGUGCCAACUCACCAGACAAAAGAGCCACAACCCACUGGGAGGCAUCAGCCAAUCAACCCACACCCUACAGCAAAUAUGGGCCCGGUCCAUGUCUACAGCGCUGGAACAGUUAUCUUCAGUUUACUCAACCAGUUCACUGGUCACGGUGGAGUUAGUGGAGGACUAGAGGAUGAGCAAAAGCAAAACACGAGGGAUGAAGAAAGCGGAAGCUGUCCGACACACCCCAUCCCCUCCCCUAAUAUCCAUCUAUCCCAGGAAGAGAAGAAUGGCGAGAUGGACUGUGUAUUUUUCCCUUCACAGGAGCAAGGAAAGGAGAGUCACAUGUCCAAAGAGGAGGGAUUAUUAUGAUUGGAGGGGGAUUGCAGACUGAGGACACACCAUGUGGAAGCGGUUUUGCCAACUGAACAUCCUAAUGGUAUGCAAUAAUGGACUAACACUGACCCAGGGUCAGUGGUAAGUGAUAACUUAUUCAUGCUCUCAGAAGAACUCAGGUGAAUCCAAACACUCUAGAAUGGUGAAUUCUAACUUUCUAGCAGGGGGAAUCUCAGUCCUCUCACACUGACAUGAGGGCUGUGUAAUGUCGGUCCUGGAGGGCUGAUCCUUUCUGGGUUUAAUUCUAUCCUUCUAAUCAAAGACUAACUCAGACCUGGGACGCCAGGUGAGUGCAUUUAACCAGCAGGUAGAAACAAACCCCCAACUGUUUCUGCCCCCAGGCCGUGACUGCGUGAAGCCCUCAGAGCAACCCCAUGAUGUUUAUAUUGUAAAUUGUACUGUAUUUAUAAUAAGCUCUCUGUCUCAGAUGUUGCUAUCUGUUUCCCAUCAUGUUCAUUUGGCAUGUUGGAACUAUCUUUGUAAAAUUGAAAGCUAAAUGAUAAAUAAUAAAAGUAAUGUGAUUAGGUCGUCAUAAAUCACUGUAGGUCUGUAAUCUUUUUGAAGCUAUUCUUUAUUUACAAUAUGUUAUGGUGUGUUCUAUUUCAAAUAAUGACUACAUUUCAAUAUGCAUCUAAAAAGCAUGGAUACAGCAAACAGAACAAUUGCAAUGAAGGUGUAAAACAUCUUCAACAUAAUCAUGUACUGUACAUGUACUUAACACACACUGUGUGUGUGUGUGUCUCUCGGUUAUGCUUAAUACUCCUAUUUAAAGAAAGUAUCUUCCUUCAGGAAGAGGGAGGUGGGCAGUACAGGUUAACCAUGUCCAAAAAAACAGCCCUCAACCUGACCACUUUAUUUCCAUGUGCUGUGGUGCAAAUGAUUUAUAUUUUCUUCUUCGUUCUACCACUCUCUUCGCUGUGUAAAUUCUUUGAGUAUGUGUUAAUUUGUCUUAAUUAAUAAAA